AUAAUGGGUCAGCGACUUAUAUUCUGUAGCAAGGUUAACCGAAUAGGGGAGCCGAAGGGAAACCGAGUCUUAACUGGGCGUUAAGUUGCAGGGUAUAGACCCGAAACCCGGUGAUCUAGCCAUGGGCAGGUUGAAGGUUGGGUAACACUAACUGGAGGACCGAACCGACUAAUGUUGAAAAAUUAGCGGAUGACUUGUGGCUGGGGGUGAAAGGCCAAUCAAACCGGGAGAUAGCUGGUUCUCCCCGAAAGCUAUUUAGGUAGCGCCUCGUGAAUUCAUCUCCGGGGGUAGAGCACUGUUUCGGCAAGGGGGUCAUCCCGACUUACCAACCCGAUGCAAACUGCGAAUACCGGAGAAUGUUAUCACGGGAGACACACGGCGGGUGCUAACGUCCGUCGUGAAGAGGGAAACAACCCAGACCGCCAGCUAAGGUCCCAAAGUCAUGGUUAAGUGGGAAACGAUGU
rnacentral:rRNA from 1 species